UACAGAGGUCCCGAGCGUUGUUCGGAUUCACUGGGCGUAAAGGGUGCGCAGGUGGCUUGGCAAGUUUGAUGUGAAAGCUCAGGGCUUAACCCUGAAAUGGCAUUGAAUACUGUUGAGCUGGAGGUUUGGAGGGGGGACGUGGAAUUCUUGGUGUAGCAGUGAAAUGCGUAGAUAUCAAGAGGAACACCAGUGGCGAAGGCGAGUCCCUGGACAACACCUGACACUGGAGG
rnacentral:rRNA from 1 species